UUGCUUUGGCAGCACACAUGCUAAAAUUGGAAUGAUGCAGAGAAGAUUAGCAUGGCCCCUGCACAAGGAUGAUACACAAAUUUGUGAAGCAUUCCAUAUUAAA